UUUUGGGAACUUCUUCUUUUUGUUUUGAUGUUCAUUACUUAGGUACCAUAUUGUUUAGUUGUGAUGUUCAAGCUAGUUGUGUAUGCAUUUGAUACAAAUUUCAUUCUCAAAUUGAUGAAAUGGGGUAAAUGAUACAGAUUUCAUUCUAAAUUAUUGUUUGGUUGUGAUGUUCAAGCUAGUUGUGUAUGCAUUUGGUACCUUGUUCUGUUUGGUUCUGAUGUUAAUUACAUAGGUAGCCUUUUUCUUAUGAGGUUGUGAUGUUCAAGCUGGUUGUUUAUGCAUUUGAUAUAGAUUUCAUUCUCAAAUAGAUGAAAUUGUUUGAAUGUGUAGCUAUGUUGCAGUGGGUCAUUUGUAUGAUGAUUGGUAUUGUUUCUCAACUUUGCUAAACAGGCUUUUGUUGGUUAACCAAUGGAGACAUUGUUUCGAAUAUGUUACAUAUGCAAUGGAAGAUAGGAAGAGGUAGUAGUGGAGCCGGGAUUUGUAUUCUAUGGUUGAGAUGGUUUCUGAUGUAUAUAACAUUGUGACAAGAGAGUAUGCAGUUGUAGGCCAUACAAUCAAAUUUAGAUUGAAGUGUAUAUUACCCAAUCUUGAUGAAAUGGAUUUGAUUAAUGAGUAGUCUAUCUUGAAUUUAUUCACUCUACAUAAUAUUGGGUCUACUAUCAAAGUAUGUGUGUAUGGUCUGACUGUAAGUAAGACCAUUGUUGGUGAUUACACAAUCAAUGGCUAUGAUGUUGCAGUGAUUCCCAGACUGGACCUCAGAAAAAGGUGCCAUCUCAAUGACACUCCAAGUGUGACUGACUGGAGUUCUAGGCCUAGUAAUGGUACUAUUAAAAUAGGUGGUGGUACUAAUAAAGCUACUAGCAGUGCAAUCGGCUGUGGUCCUAGUACUGUAAGGAUAGAGAAUUUGAGUGCUACUAAUGUAGGGGCAAGAUCAAAAUUUGAAGAGAAUGUAUCAACUAUCAGUAGGAGUUUUGUAACUGCUGGAGGAAGUGGUACAUCUUCAGAUGUUACGAAGGCUAAAUGCAAUACUACUGCUACUGUUGAGAGUAAGGGAACUGAGAUUAAUGAUGAGUUGAUGACUCCUCAUGUCAAGUCUGAUUCAUCUGGGACUGAUAGUGAUGGUGAAUGUGAAGAUAACAAUGUAAAGGAUUAUGUUGAAUCAGAAGAUAGCUUAUCUGAAUGUGAUGAGGGUGGUGAUACCAAUACUGAGAAUGAGGAUGGUGAUGGUAAAUUAAGAGAUGAAGAGAAAACUUCAUAUGAUUCAGAUGUGUCAGGGUACAAUUCUGAUGAUUACCAUGCGACAUAUGACAGAGAGCAAGACAUAUAUAGAUUUAGAUUCAAGAGUGAAGUUAGAAAAGGGGGACCUUUUCUAUGAUGUUGACCACUUUCAGCAAGUUUGUAAAACUGUGUUAUAUAAGAAGGGUUUGAGAUUUUGAGGACAAAAAAUGAAAGGACAAGGUUUACUACUGUGUGUACAGCUGAUGGUUGCAAUUGGAGAAUAUAUGCAUCUCUCACUAGGGAUAAAGCAAACUUCAAGAUCACGUCAAUAGGUCCAUCACAUACAUGCUCCAAUCCACCCACAAAAAAUAAGAGUAUAACAUACAAGUGAAUAGCAAGGAAGCUGGGACCUAUGCUUAAAGCAGAGCCAGACAUGAGUGUCGAUACCAUGAUUUCAGUGUUGCAACAAAAGUAUGGUUUUGAAGCACACAAAUUGCAGUGCUAUAGAGCUCAUAGUCUGGCAAGAGGAGAGAAUGCUAUCUGCUAUGACUUGUCUUAUGCAAAAUUGCCAAAGUAAGUUCAUCUUCUAAGAAGGCAUAACCCUAGUACUGUAUUCAAGCUAGUACCAUAUGAGAGGCAUGAAUUGACUAAAAAUCCACAAUUCAAGAGAUUAUUUGUUUGUCUUCAAGCUUGCAAGAAUGAGUUUUCUUAUGGAUGUAGACCCUUUAUAGGUCUAGAUGGAUGUCUUCUGAAGGGGAGGUAUGGAGGUGUGCUAUUGUCUGCAAUCUCAUUUGAUGGGAACAAUGGAAUAUAUUCAGCUGCCUUCAGUAUUGUUGAAGUGGAGAACAAGGAUAGCUGUACUUUUUUCUUACAUUGUUUGGAUGCUGUUAAGGUUGGAUGACUGGGACAUAGGUCUUACGUUAAUGUCUAACAAAUAGAAGGGCCUUGCAGUUGCUAUAUCUGGAAUAUUUCCUGGAGCAUAUCACAGAAACUAUUGCAGACAUCUGUAUAGUAAUUUCAAGUCAUCAUUCCCUAGACUGUUGUUGAAAAUCCAAUUUUGGAUUGCAUGCAAAGCACCUAAUGAGUACAACCCUUAAUGUGGUGUAGGCAUGCAUUCGAUAAAAGAGCCAAAAGUGAUCAUGUAACUAACAACAUGACCGAGUCUUUCAACAACUAGAUUGGAGAACUGAGAAGUAAGUCAAUCUUGACUUUGAUUGAUGAACUUAGAUGUAAAUUAAUGAAAAGGCUAGACAAAAGAUACAGAAAAGCAGCAACUAUAGAAGGCAAGGUAACUCGAAGUAUCAAGAAGAAAUUGGACUUGAUUGUAGAUGAAGCAAGGUUUUGUAUUGCAAUUCCAUCAAGAAAUGAAGAGUUUAAGGUCAUAGGUGGGAGGUCCAGAGUGGUUGUACACUUGAUGAACAAGACAUGUUGUUACAAGGCAUGGGAUGGAACUAGAAUCCCUUGUAAACAUGUUGUAGCAGCCAUCGGGUUCAUAAGAGGUGAUGUUGAAGUUUAUUGUGACCCAUUUUACACCAUAGAAAAAUACCGGUUGUCACAUAGGGAGAUGUUUCACCCAGUUCUAGAUCUGGCAACUUUGGAUGCUAUCAGUACUACUGAUGAAGUGUGGCAGCCUCCACCAUUAAAGAGAUUACCAGGUAGACCUAGAAAAAAAUAGGAAAAGGGAACCUGGUGAGGAUGCAUCUAGGGAGCUAAGGAGAAUAAAGAGUCAUAUGGUUCGGUGUGAGAUAUGCAAGAAAAAAGGACAUAAUAAGAGGACUUGCCAGAGAGAUGGAAGUGAUAAUGAGAAACCACCUUCUAGGCCAAGAGCUGGUUUGAAGAGAAAGAAUUCUAAUGUUCACCAUGAUGGAACUCCUAGCUCAUAGAUGGUAACCAGAUCAUAAGCUACAACUAUAGGAAGUCAACCCAGUGUCAAAGAAAGACAACAGGAGAGAAUGGCCAAGAAGGCAGCAUUGAUGGCAGCAAAGAGAGCUAGUAAAAAAGGGGACAGUGGAAGGAAAAAUUACGGCUUGAUGGAAUUUUUCAUAUUUGAUAGAUAUUAUGUUUUGUAAUAUCAUCCUUUUAUGGAUGUGUGAGAAUUUGUGGAUGGGAGUCUUGGUUGAACUUGUUUUAUUUUAGUCUUGGUGGAACAUGUUGGAUGUGAAAAAACUUGUUUGGAACUUGUUUUAUUUUAGUCUUGGUGGGACAUGUUGAUCAUGUAAUGAAAUUGUGGUUGGGUUUUUUAGGUCCUUAA